CUAUGAGAAAAAUGAUGGCAGAUAAGGCCUUGGUGCGCAGGCUUUCAGCCUGUGAAACAAUGGGCUCUGCAACAACUAUUUGCAGUGAUAAGACUGGUACCUUAACCUUAAAUCAGAUGACUGUCGUUAGUACUUUUAUUGGUGGACAAAAAAUUGAUCCUCCAGUCAGCAAGUCAGAGUUGCCUCUUAUGUUGUCAACUUUACUUAUUGAAGGCAUCGCACAGAACACAAAUGGCAGUGUUUUUGUUCCCGAGGGUGUAGAAGAUGAAGAGGUUUCUGGCUCACCAACAGAAAUGGCUAUUCUAAUUUGGGGAGUCAAGCUGGGAAUGAAUUUUGCUACUGUUCGAUCAGAGUCUACUGUCAUUCAUGUCUUCCCAUUCAACUCAGAGAAAAAAAGAGGUGGUGCAGCACUACGUCUGCCUGAUUCUCAAGUGCAUAUACACUGGAAGGGAGCUGCUGAAAUAAUCUUAGCCUUAUGUACGGGGUACAUUGACGCAAAUGAUCAUAUAGUACCAAUGGAUGAAGAUAAGAAGUCAUUUUUUAAACAAGCUAUUGAUGAUAUGGCUGCUGGUAGUUUGCGUUGUGUUGCCAUAGCAUAUAGAUCAUAUGAAAUUGAGAAGGUUCCGGUUGAUGAAGAACAGCCAACUGAAUGGGCAUUACCAGAAGAUGAUCUCAUUUUGCUUGCUAUUAUUGGCUUAAAGAUUCAAUUGAUUGAUGGAACCCAAUUUUGUUUCUUUUGGC
rnacentral:misc_RNA from 1 species